rnacentral:tRNA from 1 species
GUUCCUGUAGUUAAAUGUUGAUAACAGCGGCUUUUCAGGUCGCUGAUCCUGGAUAAAGGCCAGGCGGGAAUU